rnacentral:rRNA from 1 species
UACGUAGGGUGCGAGCGUUGUCCGGAAUUAUUGGGCGUAAAGAGCUUGUAGGCGGUUUGUCGCGUCUGCUGUGAAAAUCCGGGGCUCAACCCCGGACUUGCAGUGGGUACGGGCAGACUAGAGUGUGGUAGGGGAGACUGGAAUUCCUGGUGUAGCGGUGAAAUGCGCAGAUAUCAGGAGGAACACCGAUGGCGAAGGGCAGGUCUCUGGGCCACUACUGACGCUGAGAAGCGAAAGCAUGGGGAGCGAACAGG